rnacentral:rRNA from 1 species
AGCAGCCGCCGCGGGAAUACGGAGGGUGCAAGCGUUAUCCGGAUUUAUUGGGUUUAAAGGGUCCGUAGGCGGACUUAUAAGUCAGUGGUGAAAGCCUGUCGCUUAACGAUAGAACUGCCAUUGAUACUGUAAGUCUUGAGUAUAUUUGAGGUAGCUGGAAUAAGUAGUGUAGCGGUGAAAUGCAUAGAUAUUACUUAGAACACCAAUUGCGAAGGCAGGUUACCAAGAUAUAACUGACGCUGAGGGACGAAAGCGUGGGUAGCGAACAGGAUUAGAUACCCCUGUAGUCCCUGUCUCUUAUAC